CCAGCAGCUGCGGUAAUACGAAGGUCCCGAGCGUUGUUCGGAAUCACUGGGCGUAAAGGGAGCGUAGGCGGCGCGGUAAGUCGGAUGUGAAAUCCCGGGGCUCAACCCCGGAACUGCAUCUGAUACUGCCGUGCUAGAGUAAUGGAGAGGUAGCUGGAAUUAUCGGUGUAGCAGUGAAAUGCGUAGAUAUCGAUAGGAACACUCGUGGCGAAAGCGAGCUACUGGACAUUUACUGACGCUGAGGCUCGAAGGCUAGGGUAGCGAAAGGGAUUAGAUACCCCUGUAGUCCUAGCAGUAAACGGUGCACGCUUGGUGUGAGGGGAAUCGACCCCCCUUGUGCCGGAGCUAACGCGUUAAGCGUGCCGCCUGGGAAGUACGGUCGCAAGACUAAAACUCAAAGAAAUUGACGGGGACCCGCACAAGCGGUGGAGUAUGUGGCUUAAUUCGAUGCAACGCGAAGAACCUUACCAAGGCUUGACAUGCAUCUCUAAACACGUGAAAGCGUGUGACCCUUCGGGGAAUUUGCACA
rnacentral:rRNA from 1 species